GCUCAGGAUGAACGCUAGCUACGGGCUUAACACAUGCAAGUCGAGGGGCAGCAUGGUCUUAGCUUGCUAAGGCCGAUGGCGACCGGCGCACGGGUGAGUAACGCGUAUCCAACCUGCCUUACACUCUUGGACAGCCUUCUGAAAGGGAGAUUAAUACAAGAUGUUAUCAUGAGUAAGCAUUUUCGCAUGAUUAAAGGUUUACCGGUGUAAGAUGGGGAUGCGUUCCAUUAGAUAGUAGGCGGGGUAACGGCCCACCUAGUCUUCGAUGGAUAGGGGUUCUGAGAGGAAGGUCCCCCACAUUGGAACUGAGACACGGUCCAAACUCCUACGGGAGGCAGCAGUGAGGAAUAUUGGUCAAUGGACGAGAGUCUGAACCAGCCAAGUAGCGUGAAGGAUGAAGGUUCUAUGGAUUGUAAACUUCUUUUAUACGGGAAUAAACGAAUCCACGUGUGGAUUUUUGCAUGUACCGUAUGAAUAAGGAUCGGCUAACUCCGUGCCUGCAGCCGCGGUAAUACGGAGGAUCCGAGCGUUAUCCGGAUUUAUUGGGUUUAAAGGGAGCGUAGAUGGGUUGUUAAGUCAGUUGUGAAAGUUUGCGGCUCAACCGUAAAAUUGCAAUUGAUACUGGCAGUCUUGAGUACAGUUGAGGUAGGCGGAAUUCGUGGUGUAGCGGUGAAAUGCUUAGAUAUCACGAAGAACUCCGAUUGCGAAGGCAGCUUACUAACCUGUAACUGACAUUGAUGCUCGAAAGUGUGGGUAUCAAACAGGAUUAGAUACCCUGGUAGUCCACACGGUAAACGAUGAAUACUCGCUGUAGGCGAUAUACAGUCUGCGGCCAAGCGAAAGCAUUAAGUAUUCCACCUGGGGAGUACGCCGGCAACGGUGAAACUCAAAGGAAUUGACGGGGGCCCGCACAAGCGGAGGAACAUGUGGUUUAAUUCGAUGAUACGCGAGGAACCUUACCCGGGCUUAAAUUGCAACCGAAUAUGGCGGAAACGCUAUAGCUAGCAAUAGCGGUUGUGAAGGUGCUGCAUGGUUGUCGUCAGCUCGUGCCGUGAGGUGUCGGCUUAAGUGCCAUAACGAGCGCAACCCUUGCCGAUAGUUACUAACAGGUCAUGCUGAGGACUCUGUCGGGACUGCCAUCGUAAGAUGUGAGGAAGGUGGGGAUGACGUCAAAUCAGCACGGCCCUUACGUCCGGGGCUACACACGUGUUACAAUGGGGGGUACAGAGGGCUGCUACCACGCAAGUGGAUGCCAAUCCCAAAAACCUCUCUCAGUUCGGAUUGAAGUCUGCAACCCGACUUCAUGAAGCUGGAUUCGCUAGUAAUCGCGCAUCAGCCACGGCGCGGUGAAUACGUUCCCGGGCCUUGUACACACCGCCCGUCAAGCCAUGGGAGCCGGGGGUACCUGAAGUGCGUAACCGCAAGGAGCGCCCUAGGGUAAAACUGGUGACUG
rnacentral:rRNA from 1 species